GCCGGGUGUGGUGGCUCACACCUGUAAUCCCAGCACUUUGGGAGGCCGAGGCAGGCGGAUCACCUGAGGUCAGGAGUUCAAGACCAGCCUGGCCAACAUGGUGAAACCCUGUCUCUA
rnacentral:SRP_RNA from 1 species